UUCUCGCUCUUGGGUGCCGCUGAGUCCAUGGGUGGCCGCAAGAUCGAUGACAAGUAUAAGGCAGAGGAGCAAAAGGCAUGGAACAAUAAGAGGGGCAUAAAAAGAGGGGGCGCGGCGGCAAGACCUUCAAGGACUCCUCCAAUGUCAAUCAAGAUGAGAUGCACUAUGUGCCUGACAUAACUGGAUUCUGGAAAGACAAUAGGCCUGACAUUCUCAUGAAGAACCCCCGUCAAGGCCAGAGAUUCGAAGACGGAUCCUAUUUCGUGGCUAGGCAGUUUGAUCGGGUGCUUAUUUACUAUCCUGGAAGACCGAUGGUCACCAAAAAUUCCCUGCGUGCCGUGUCCAAAGAGAUGCUGUGGAGUUCAGGAAAUUGGGAACAUUCAGGAACGUCCUAUCACCUUUGGUGUGGAGUUCAACGAACUGUUCCACCUCUUCAACCGCCAAAAGCUUGAUAUCAACCUCUUAAGGCUGUGGUCUGCCUACCAAAUAAGGAAAAUGCGGCGAAUGGAGGUCAAAAAAGUAGCCAUUCUAGACCCCGCGGUGUUCAACUACGGUGACAUCGGACUUGAACCAGAAAGGAUCCCUCAAAAACUCUGGCAUCUAAAUACUUGGUGGCAUGUCUGGAGAAAUACGCGGACCACAACUUUAUCCUCUUCUUCCUUAAUUUGGAAGACCAUUGGAUGACACUGCUCAUUUGUUUGUCUUGGUCCGUGGUGUACUACUUCGAUUCACUCAUUAACACUGCCUGGAAAGUGACGACCAAGGGAAAACUAGCUGGUAAAGGCUAUAAAGACGAGCUUCACCACAACCACAGGUUCCCUUGCCAGCAACAGCCGGCCGGCAGUGUGUGCUGUGGCUACUACUGCUGUCACAUCCUUAUGGAGAAUGCCAUCAUGUUUAAACCUGAGUGGAAGGGGUCAAUCGUGGCUGUGGAAGAGUAAUGGCGGCCCCGAAUGACAAUGGCACACCAAUCUAAAUGGGUCGUGUAUAACAUUCAAAGGGAGUUCGCCCAUGUCAUCAACAAUGAGGUCAUCAAGCCUAGUGGGUACUUCUACGAACGCAUGGAACAAGUGAUUAGGGUUCACCCACAACAAUAGCUUCAAAUUUGAAAUGAGAUACAUUUGUAUUCUUUAUAUGGUUCUAUGAAAUUUUGACAUUUUGUAAUCAAUGUCGUGAAGUGAGAUACAUUUGUAUUCUUUA